rnacentral:rRNA from 2 species
CUAACCAGGAUUCCCCUAGUAACGGCGAGUGAAGCGGGAAGAGCUCAAAUUUGUAAUCUGGCGGCUUACGGUCGUCCGAGUUGUAGUCUGGAGAAGCGUUUUCCGUGUCGGACCGUGUACAAGUCCUUUGGAACAGGGCGUCGUAGAGGGUGAGAAUCCCGUCUUUGACACGGACUGCCGAUGCUUUGUGAUGCGCUCUCGAAGAGUCGAGUUGUUUGGGAAUGCAGCUCAAAACGGGUGGUAAAUUCCAUCUAAAGCUAAAUAUUGGCGAAAGACCGAUAGCGAACAAGUACCGUGAGGGAAAGAUGAAAAGCACUUUGGAAAGAGAGUUAAACAGUACGUGAAAUUGUUGAAAGGGAAACGUUUGAAGUCAGUCGCGUCUCCUGGGACUCAGCCUCGCCUUGUCGCUUGGUGUAUUUCCUGGGGCGACGGGCCAGCAUCGAUUUUGACCGUCGGAAAAAGGCUUUGGGAAUGUGGCACCUUCGGGUGUGUUAUAGCCCUGGGUCGCAUGCGACGGUUGGGAUCGAGGACCGCAGCACGCCUUUUUGGCCGGGGUUCGCCCACGUAACGUGCUUAGGAUGCUGGCGUAAUGGCUUUAAGCGACCCGUCUUGA